GGCCGUCGGUUAAAGGUUGUACAAAUGUUUGCCCUCCACUCAAAGCUCAUACAAAUGUUCGUCCUUGUUUGCACUAUUCAAUCCCAACCUAGGGUUGUAGUGGAACUCGGCGUCUUCCAGGAUGACAUGAUCGUUGAUGAAACCUGCGAUCGUCUCCUGGAUUGCGACGAGUAUUGUGUGGUCGAACACUUGUUCUUUCCAUUCCCACUCGUUCCAUUUGCAUUAAUUAAAGAAAAAGAUAUAAAUAUACAUAAGAUUUAUUUCGUUUCAACAAAUAAAUAAGAUAUGAAUUUAAUGUAUACACAUGUUACUUACUUUGAGCAUCUGUUUAGAAGGUGUAAAUUUGGUAUACUGCAUGCACUCGUAAACGUAGUAUCCACAUAAAUUGGUGUCAUACGUCUGCCUGGGCACCCACCUAUGUAGAAUAGGAGCGGGAAGUGGUGCUUUCAGAUUCAUACGAUAUCUGUCACACCCAUAUUUUAAGAACAAAAUAGGAUGCAUAAAAGACUCAUAUGUGUCCUAGAAACAGUCGCACACAUAAGUAGACAAAUCUCAAUUGUACCAUUGUAGUGUUUAUUACAUAGCGGAACAUAAUAAAUCACAUAGCCUUAUACAUAAAUGAUAGCAAGGAGUAAACAACACUCUCAACGAAAGCUCCACACAGGGACACUGUUGACUAGUUGACUUCAAGCCUAAUACUCAUAACGGUAGUUCUCAUUCCAAUCAUCAUCAUGAGCAUAACCUGGGGUGUUGGGAAAUUGCAAGAGUGAGCACAUAUCGUACUCAACAAGUAUAACCAGGGGUUCAUGAGGCUCAAAUAGCUGACACUGGUUUGACUGCAUUUAGCUUUUAAUAGUGGAUAACGUGUUCAUAAUUAAUAGCAAAUGUCAAGGUAUGAAUAAUCCAAUAAUCAAUGAUCAUUUGUAAGUAUAAUUAACUCUUAGCAUAAUUAACAUCUUUACCCAUGAGUCAUGAUUUACCCUUUCGCCCGAGGUAGCUAAUCUCUUAACCCCCUUCCUAGGGAGGUCGGCAGGGAUCACUAUGAAGCCUUUCAAAAGUUCGUCUAACAUGUUAGGGCCGCA
rnacentral:lncRNA from 1 species